UGGGGAAUAUUGGGCAAUGGGCGCAAGCCUGACCCAGCAACGCAGCGUGAAGGAAGAAGGCCUCGGGUUGUAAACUUCUUUUAUCAGGGACGAAGAAGUGACGGUACCUGAUGAAUAAGCCACGGCUAACUAAGUGCC
rnacentral:rRNA from 1 species